UGGGGAAGUUGGUAAUAGGGCGGCAAGCCUGAUCCAGCAAUGCCGCGUGCAGGACGAAGGCCUUCGGGUUGUAAACUGCUUUUGUCGGUAGCGCGGUACCGUAAGAAUAAGCACCGGCUAACUACGUGCCAGCAGCCGCGGUAAUACGUAGGGUGCGAGCGUUAAUCGGAAUUACUGGGCGUAAAGCGUGCGCAGGCGGUUUUGUAAGACAGGCGUGAAAUCCCCGGGCUCAACCUGGGAAUGGCGCUUGUGACUGCAAAGCUGGAGUGCGGCAGAGGGGGAUGGAAUUCCGCGUGUAGCAGUGAAAUGCGUAGAUAUGCGGAGGAACACCGAUGGCGAAGGCAAUCCCCUGGGCCUGCACUGACGCUCAUGCACGAAAGCGU
rnacentral:rRNA from 1 species